GGUGUCUUGGCUAAGGUGUCUUGGCUAAUGUGUCUUGGCUAAUGUGUCUUGGCUAAGGUGUCUUGGCUAAUGUGUCUUGGCUAAGGUGUCUUGGCUAAUGUGUCUUGGCUAAUGUGUCUUGGCUAAGGUGUCUUGGCUAAGGUGUCUUGGCUAAGGUGUCUUGGCUAAGGUGUCUUGGCUAAUGUGUCUCGGCUAAGGUGUCUUGGCUAAUGUGUCUUGGCUAAGGUGUCUUGGCUAAGGUGUCUAGACUAAGGUGUCUUGGCUAAUGUGUCUUGGCUAAUGUGUCUUGGCUAAGGUGUCUUGGCUUAUGUGUCUUGGCUAAUGUGUCUUGGCUAAGGUGUCUUGGCUAAGGUGUCUUGGCUAGUGUGUCUUGGCUAAUGUGUCUCGGCUAAGGUGUCUUGGCUAAUGUGUCUUGGCUAAAGUGUCUUGGCUAAGGUGUCUUGGCUAAGGUGUCUUGGCUAAGGUGUCUCGGCUAAGGUGUCUUGGCUAAUGUGUCUUGGCUAAGGUGUCUUGGCUAAGGUGUCUUGGCUAAGGUGUCUUGGUUAAGGUGUCUUGGCUAAGGUGUCUUGGCUAAUGUGUCUUGGCUAAGGUGUCUUGGCUAAGGUGUCUUGGCUAAUGUGUCUUGGCUAAUGUGUCUUGGCUAAUGUGUCUUGGCUAAAGUGUCUUGGCUAAGGUGUCUUGGCUAAGGUGUCUUGGCUAAGGUGUCUUGGCUAAUGUGUCUUGGCUAAUGUGUCUUGGCUAAGGUGUCUUGGCUAAGGUGUCUUGGCUAAUGUGUCUUGGCUAAUGUGUCUUGGCUAAAGUGUCUUGGCUAAGGUGUCUUGGCUAAGGUGUCUUGGCUAAGGUGUCUUGGCUAAUGUGUCUUGGCUAAUGUGUCUUGGCUAAGGUGUCUUGGCUAAGGUGUCUUGGCUAAUGUGUCUUGGCUAAGGUGUCUUGGCUAAGGUGUCUUGGCUAAUGUGUCUUGGCUAAUGUGUCUUGGCUAAGGUGUCUUGGCUAAUGUGUCUUGGCUAAUGUGUCUUGGCUAAGGUGUCUUGGCUAAGGUGUCUUGGCUAAUGUGUCUUGGCUAAGGUGUCUUGGCUAAGGUGUCUUGGCUAAGGUGUCUUGGCUAAGGUGUCUUGGCUAAGGUGUCUUGGCUAAUGUGUCUUGGCUAAGGUGUCUUGGCUAAGGUGUCUUGGCUAAUGUGUCUUGGGUAAGGUGUCUUGGCUAAUGUGUCUUGGCUAAUGUGUCUUGGCUAAGGUGUCUUGGCUAAAGUGUCUUGGCUAAGGUGUCUUGGCUAAGGUGUCUUGGCUAAGGUGUCUUGGCUAAUGUGUCUUGGCUAAUGUGUCUUGGCUAAGGUGUCUUGGCUAAGGUGUCUUGGCUAAGGUGUCUUGGCUAAUGUGUCUCGGCUAAUGUGUCUUGGCUAAGGUGUCAUGGCUAAGGUGUCUUGGCUAAUGUGUCUUGGCUAAGGUGUCUUGACUAAUGUGUCUCGGCUAAUGUGUCUUGGCUAAUGUGUCUUGGCUAAGGUGUCUUGGCUAAUGUGUCUCGGCUAAGGUGUCUUGG